rnacentral:rRNA from 1 species
ACGGCUCAGUAACACGUGGACAACCUACCCUGAAGAGGGGGAUAACCCCGGGAAACUGGGGAUAAUACCCCAUAGGCUAUGGAUGCUGGAAUGCUCUGUAGUUGAAAGGUCCGCCGCUUCAGGAUGGGUCUGCGGCCGAUUAGGUUGUUGUUGGGGUAACGGCCCAACAAGCCUGUAAUCGGUACGGGUUGUGGGAGCAAGAGCCCGGAGAUGGAUUCUGAGACACGAAUCCAGGCCCUACGGGGCGCAGCAGGCGCGAAAACUUUGCAAUGCGAGCAAUCGUGACAAGGGAACUCCGAGUGCCUGUAAAAUCAGGCUGUCCGCCAGUGUAAAUAACUGGCGAAGGAAGGGCCGGGCAAGACCGGUGCCAGCCGCCGCGGUAAUACCGGCGGCUCGAGUGGUGGCCACUAUUACUGGGCUUAAAGCGUUCGUAGCUGGCUUGUUAAGUCUCUGGGGAAAUCUUCCGGCUUAACCGGAAGGCGUCUCAGGGAUACUGGCAGGCUAGGGACCGGAAGAGGUGAGAGGUACUCCAGGGGUAGGAGUGAAAUCCUGUAAUCCUUGGGGGACCACCUGUGGCGAAGGCGUCUCACCAGAACGGCUCCGACAGUGAGGAACGAAAGCUGGGGGAGCAAACCGGAUUAGAUACCCGGGUAGUCCCAGCUGUAAACGAUGCGCGUUAGGUGUAUCGGUGACCACGAGUCACCGAGGUGCCGAAGAGAAAUCGUGAAACGUGCCGCCAGGGAAGUACGGUCGCAAGGCUGAAACUUAAAGGAAUUGGCGGGGGAGCAC